ACAAGCGUGAGAAACGGCUAGUAGGAAUAAGGUCUGCAGCAGGCGCGAAACUUACACAAUGCUAGAUUACAAUUAGCGAUGUAGUGAAGAAAAAUAACGAUGUACUUCCAUUUAAACAUGGUAGUACAAUUGGAAUGAGUUGACUCUAAACCAGUCAGUCGAGUAACAAAUGGAGGGCAAGUCUGGUGCCAGCAGCCGCGGUAAUUCCAGCUCCAUUAGCAUACAUUAAAGUUGUUGCGGUUAAAAAGCUCGUAGUUGAAUUUUAGGCGGGCUCUAUUGGGAUGCAGUCGUUAUGGCUAUUGGGUACCUCACCGGUCCCAUAGUUGAUUGUAUUUUCCCUAUAGGAACCCGCUGUUUCGUCACUUAAUCGAGUGCGAAGCGGGCUGAAACAAAGAUCAUACUCCGGUAUAUCUUGUAUCAGCAUGUUUACCUUGAGAAAAUUAGAGUGCUCACAGCAGGCAGUUGGGGUCUUAAAGCCCCUUUGUGCUUGAAUAAUGUUGCAUGGAAUAAUAGAAUACGGCCUCGGUUCUAUUCUGUUGGUCUUAUAGAACAACAAAUAAGUUGAUUAAAGCGACCAAAAGUUCGUUUGCGGGUGUGAUCUUAAGGAUCUAAUUUGCUUGGGUGCACUGCGUUAUAUAGCGUGAUUAUGUUGCCUAGGGCUUUAAAUCUUAGCGCCAUGUCCACUAUGUCCAGUCCCUUUAGUAAUUAGUAAUUCUUAUGGUCAUCUAAAGCACCCCUUAUUGGACUAGCUUUCUAAUCAACUGAGGCAAUGGUUAAAAGAAAUAGUCGCGGCGGCAUCACUACUGCAUCGUGAGAG
rnacentral:rRNA from 1 species